GCUUCUUUCAUCUUGACUGGCCUUGACACUCUGUCAUACAGUUCUCCUCCUUCCAUCAGUUCCAAAACAAUGUAGUAAUCCUCUGCUUCAAAGAAGUUCUUGAUCUUGAUUAAGCAGGGCUAAUAAAAAGGGAACACAGAUGGACACAUAGAAAAGUAGAAUCACUUGUAAAAACUAACGCUAUCAACUACGUAUCAUCUUGAGUUUCCUAUUCUACUAUCAUUUCCCCAUAGCAGCCAAAUUGGCUUUGGGAAACACUUAAAAUCAGUCUGUUGUCUUCUCCCCUCUGCUUCAUCCCCCUG
rnacentral:lncRNA from 1 species